AAUUAUAACUAAUUUUACGGAGCGAUAAUUAUAAAUGACCGCCAUUUAAAAACCCUUCGGAAAUUUAUUUCGAAAAAAGCAUGAAGAUUUUAAUCUAAGGAAGACAUCAAUGAUUAUUUCUUUUGAUAAAUUAUAUAUAGUUAGCUAAUAUAGUUCACAAAAUAAAUUAUAUAUAGUUAGCUAAUAUAGUUCACAAAAUAUUUUGAUGAUUUGAUGCUUUGCAUGUUUGCUAAAAUCCUUGUGAUUUGAAACUUAUUUUGCAGAAAUAUUACAAAAGUGUUGUUCAAUAACACAAAAGAUUGCUUUAUUGGUUGUGCACUUAUCGUUUUUAUCGAUGAACCAAGAUUCAUUUAUGUCUUUUACAAAAAGGGCAUACGAAAAGAAACGCAGUAGACGUGUCCAAAAAGAAUAUUAAAAAAUACUAGAAUUUUCAUCAGUACAUAUAAAAAAAAAAUCGAAUGUUGGAACUUCUAAAAAAAAUGAUUUCUUAUCUUGCGAAAAUCUAAAAGAAUAUUUUGACCAUCAUGAGUUAUUGAUUUUGUACAAUCAAUACUCUUAUAACCAAAAGCCUCAUGAGUAUAAGCAUAACCCAACUUUAAAGGAAAGUUUUUCUGCAUGUUUUUCUAAUUAAGUAAUUAUGCACUAAACAAGUGGAUUGACAAAUAAGAAUAGCAACAAAUUUAUUGUAAUAACAGAAUAGCAACAAAUUUAUUGUCCCAAAAAAAAACUAUAACCAUGCACUGAAAAACAACCUUUCGUCAACAAAAGAAUGGCACAAAUUUCCAUUGAUAAAGUAUAAGAUAACAGAUAGUCAGUAUCUAACUUGUUUUAAGUUUUUUUUAAAGAGAUGCAAAAUGUUAUUCUCAACGAGCUUACAGAAAUAAAAGUUCUUUUAAAAGAAGUUAUAGAAAUUAAGUGUCAGGCUACUGGGGUGAAGUUGCUAUAAUCAGUGGACAAAGUGGUUACACUGGAUAAUAAACUAAAAGAUAAAACCAAGUAUACUAAUUUGCUUGAUAGUUUGAAAAAGAUUGGUGGUGGAAAGCCAAGAGAACAUGUUUUUUUGAUCAUGAAAAGAUAUCGGCGACGUGGAAGAAAAUGUUGACGGCAAUGAAGAAAUAUAGUUUCUUAUGUAUAUUUUUGUGAAAUAAAAAUUAAGUAAUGUUAGUUAAAA